UACGGAGGGUGCAAGCGUUAUCCGGAUUCACUGGGUUUAAAGGGUGCGUAGGCGGACUGGUAAGUCAGUGGUGAAAUCCCCGAGCUUAACUUGGGAACUGCCGUUGAUACUAUCAUUCUUGAAUACCGUGGAGGUGAGCGGAAUAUGUCAUGUAGCGGUGAAAUGCUUAGAUAUGACAUAGAACACCAAUUGCGAAGGCAGCUCGCUACACGAAUAUUGACUCUGAGGCACGAAAGCGUGGGGAUCAAACAGG
rnacentral:rRNA from 1 species